rnacentral:lncRNA from 1 species
CCGGUGUCCUGGCUUUCCUUCCAGUCCCUGUAUCAGGACACGGUCCGUGCCCUGGAGGACUUGCUGGCGGGCCUCCUGCAGCGGAACAUGACUCCCCAGGGCCUUCAGAUCAUGGUCGAGGUGUGCGGUGGGGGUGGGGAAGGGCAGUCUGCCAGGCCCCUCCCUGUUUUCCUGGCCCUCUCUCCCCACAGGGGUACCUCAGUUUGAUACCCUCUGCGGUGGGUGGUCUGAGCAGGCAGGCAGCACUCCCAUCUGGACAGCCAUGCAGGGGGCGCGGCCUGUCCCUCUCCCCCACUGCGUGGUGCUGGGUUGGAGAAGCAUGGGUCCUGACGUAACUCCUGACCACUGGGGGCCAGCAAGAUGGCAGGACAUGGUCCUGCUGCAGCAUGUCUCCAUCUCCCUUCAUGGUUAUGGUGGGCUGGGGUGGACCCCUGGGUCUAGGAGGACACCCUUCUAGGGCCAAGGUGGACUCUACCUGUGCCUAACAGGCCUGGUUUACUCUUGGUCACCUGGGGUGGGCCGCGUCUGUGAGCAGACAGCACAGGGGUGGGGCAGGGCUGAGCUGCUGCGGGUCCCGGGAUGGGAGCUGCAUGGGUGCGGAGGGCUGACCCCCUCAGGGAUUCCGAGCUGGCGCUCAGGACACAGGCUUCUGCUCUUCUGGGCGGUCCCCAAGCUGGCACCUGGGUGAAGUCCCUUCUUCCUCAGCACCUGAGCCCAUGGAUCAAGUCCCCAAAGGGCCACGAGCGGGCACGGGCCUUGGGCUUGAGCACCCGCCUGCUGCAGCACUUCCGGCAGCACCUGCACGUCAGCGUGAGUACAGGCCCCUGUGGGCAGGGAGGGCACGGCCACUCCAGCAGCUCUGUCUGCCCCACCCCUUGUGGGUCCCUUGGCUUGGGAGCCCCUGCAUGUGGCCCUCGUCCACGGAGCACCCUGCAGGCUCCCCGGCCUUCCCCCUCGGUGCCCCGGCUCGGGUCUCGUCCUUUUGCCGGGAGUGGUCCUGGCCAGGAGUGACCCUGGGGUCUGUGCCCGGGCCGCUUGCUUUGUCAUUGCCUGUCUUCGUCACGUCCCUGUUGAGAAUGUGGCUCACUAAGAACAGAGGCCACCCACCUGCCCGCGGCCCCAGGCCCACAGCCCAGUCUUGCCUUCCGGAAGCCCUGCAUUCUCAGCAGCAGCGACUCUUGGGGUGCAAGAGCAGCGGGAUCCGGGGGCUUGUGAGAGCCCGGGGGAGGGGCAGCUGAUGGGGCCAGGCCCUGGGAAGUGGAGAAGGGCCGAAGGUCAGCGUGGAGGAGCGAGCCCUGAGAGCCAGCCGGGGACCUGCUCCGUCCCAGGGCGUUGGCCUUCCAGAGGAGGGACUUCCCAAGGAUGUGGCCGAGUCAGCAGAGUCCUGUGCCUCCUCCCCCUCUGCUGCCCACGCAGGGGCCUCCCCCUGAUCCCCUGACCACCCUUCUGCCUGCCCAUAACUGCUUCCCCAGCAACUGCUGUGCUCGGGGUGCUAGGUGGCCCAGGUGGUUAGUGGAGCCGAGCAGGUCCCCUGUGCUGGGUGUGGGGGCCAUGCCACCACAGGGAGGCCCACUCUGGGUGUCAGCGGUGGGGACUGUACCUGCCUUCCCUGGCCUACCAUCUCCCCCCAGGCUCUGGUGCCCUUCCACAACCUGGGCCUCCUCGUUGGCCUCUUCUCCCCGAGGUGUGCCGACCUGUGUUCCGCCACCCGCCGGCAGGCCGUGGACUGCGUCUACACCCUGCUCUACCUGCAGCUGGGCCACGAGGGUGAGCUCGGCAGGCAGGGGAGGUGGCUGUCGGCCAGGCAGGCGGGCGGGCAGUGGGAGCGGGCGGUCCUGGGCCAGGCAGUCCGAUGCCUUUCCGUCGCCUACGUCCGAGUUUGCUGUCCCUCGACCUUCCCCGCCUGCUUAGCCUGGAGUUCAGGCUACUCGUCCCAGAGGACCUCAGCCUUGCCCCUCUGGCCCCUCAGGGUUCUCCCGAGACUACCGCGAUGAUGUGGCCGAGCGGCUGCUCAGCCUCAAGGACGGCCUGGUGCACCCUGACCCUGCCACCCUCUUCCACACCUGCCACAGCGUAGCCCAG